AUUGUCUUUCCUCCCCUCACAUGCACACGUCUCUUUUCUCAGUUUCAAACUGGUUGCAACUCAGAGAGGGGCUGGAAUAAACCCCUUUUGUUCUUUUGCAGUAGGGUUCAUUGAUGCCAUUCCGGAUCCCAACCCAAGCCUGCUCAAGAUGGAAAAAGCAACAGUGUGGAGCAAGGCUGGGAACCCCCUUAGCUGGAACCAACUCCACUGGACAAGGCACGUGAACUGGUGCUCUGAAUUACUACCUACGUGUUUCAGGUGAAAAAGUUGUCCAGUGUUCGGUCUUCUGAUUCCUGGAGUGAGGAAAGAGUUCAGCAACGUCUUCUCGAGAGGAGCGGGCAUGAAAAAGAAUGGACUCGUCUGUUCAGGAAGCGGCAAGAGGUCUGGGCGCCAAAAAUGUGAGCCUUUUGGUGAUUCUGCAUCACCCCGGGGAAGUAACGAUGAUGCUCCAGAUGCAGGACCACGUCAUUCUCCCAAGCGCCUGCUUGUGACAACACAACCCGGUCCCUCCAGCGCCCUUCCUGCUGCCUGCCAAGUGCUCGGAGGUUCCGCCGUGGACAAGUGGCUUGGCUUAUU
rnacentral:lncRNA from 1 species